GAGCAAGAGGGGGUUCUCUUGAUUGCAUCCACCCCUUGGGGUUCAGAAAACACAUCUCCUCCAAUUGCAUCCUUCCACUGUGAUGAGAACAAUGCAUGCUUGGGACACCCACACCAUUCACCAUUCCCACUGUGCAGAUUGGGUUCCUAACCUCGAUAAGGGUUCAAAGACUUUACAAUGAUCAAAGAUUGACGCUGCACACACUGCAUGAAGACAGAAUCCAUUAUAAGGUGAAGUAUGCUAAUGUGUUGGCUAUCACAUGUUAUUAUUGAUAGAGCGGACCAAAGGGUCUGUUUCACUCUGGAGGAAAUCAACUAUCUUAGAAUAUUCUGUACCGGAAUGAAAAGGCUAGGCUGUCCCCUCUUAUAUCUUUGAUUGAAAUCAUGCAAUACACGUACACUGUAUAAUUCAUUAUCCUUUCCUUCUCUGCUGUAUGAGGGAAUUUCUAACACAAUCAGAUGGAAGGAAAUGAGGCCCCACUGUUAAGAAGAAAUACUUUUUUAUUUAUUUGACCUUUAUUUCUCAGCCAAACGUGAAGAACAAACGGAGCUAUUUCGCCUACAAAAAUAAUAUUUUGGGAAAAAAGGAACAUUUGCUAUCUAACUGGGAGUCUCGUGAGUGAAAACAUCCGAAGCUCAUCAAAGCUGUGCUGCGACACUCCCCAUCCAACCUGACAGCUUGAGAGGAUCUGCAGAGAAGAAUGGGAGAAACUCCCCAAAUACAGGUGUGCCAAGCUUGUAGCGUCAUACCCAAGAAGACUCGAGGCUGUAAUCGCUGCCAAAGGUGCUUCAACAAAGUACUGUGUAAAGGGUCUGAAUACUUAUGUAAAUACAGUAUUUAACUUUUUUAUUCUUAAUAAAUUUGCAAACAUU